rnacentral:rRNA from 1 species
ACGAAGGGGGCUAGCGUUGUUCGGAAUCACUGGGCGUAAAGCGUACGUAGGCGGAUCGUUAAGUCAGGGGUGAAAGCCUGGAGCUCAACUCCAGAACUGCCUUUGAUACUGGCGAUCUUGAGUCCGGGAGAGGUGAGUGGAACUGCUAGUGUAGAGGUGAAAUUCGUAGAUAUUAGCAAGAACACCAGUGGCGAAGGCGGCUCACUGGCCCGGUACUGACGCUGAGGUACGAAAGCGUGGGGAGCAAACAG